GUGACCGGUGUUACACGCUCAGAGAAGUCA
rnacentral:sRNA from 1 species